rnacentral:rRNA from 1 species
AACGAACGCUGGCGGCAUGCCUAACACAUGCAAGUCGAACGAGACCUUCGGGUCUAGUGGCGCACUGGUGCGUAACGCGUGGGAACCUGCCCUUAGGUUCGGAAUAACUCCCCGAAAGGGGUGCUAAUACCGGAUAAUGUCUUCGGACCAAAGAUUUAUCGCCUUUGGAUGGGCCCGCGUUGGAUUAGCUAGUUGGUAGGGUAAAAGCCUACCAAGGCGACGAUCCAUAGCUGGUCUGAGAGGAUGAUCAGCCACACUGGGACUGAGACACGGCCCAGAAUCCUACGGGAGGCAGCAGUGGGGAAUAUUGGACAAUGGGAGAAAGCCUGAUCCAGCAAUGCCGCGUGAGUGAUGAAGGCCUUAGGGUUGUAAAGCUCUUUUACCCGGGAUGAUAAUGACAGUACCGGGAGAAUAAGCUCCGGCUAACUCCGUG